UUAGGAAUAUUCGUCAAUGGGGGGAACCCUGAACGAGCAAUGCCGCGUGAGUGAUGAAGGUCUUAUAGAUUGUAAAACUCUGUUGUAAAGGAAGAACGACUAUUAUAGGUAAUGAUAAUAGAGUGACGGUACUUUACCAGAAAGCCCCGGCUAACUACGUGCCAGCAGCCGCGGUAAUACGUAGGGGGCGAGCGUUAUCCGGAUUUAUUGGGCGUAAAGGGUGCGUAGGCGGUUUAUUAAGUUUAAAAUAAAAGCCCGAAGCUUAACUUCGGUUCGUUUUAAAAACUGGUAGACUUGAGUAUAGUAGAGGCAAGUGGAAUUUCUAGUGUAGCGGUUAAAUGCGUAGAUAUUAGAAGGAACACCAGUGGCGAAGGCGACUUGCUGGGCUAUUACUGACGCUGAGGCACGAAAGCGUGGGGAGCAAAUAGG
rnacentral:rRNA from 1 species